GUUCUGGUGUUAAGAGAUGGGUUCUGUUUCCCCAAAGACCAUUAUUCCUACUCUUCCCCUCCCUGCUCCUCUUGGUCCUCCUCCUCCUCUUUUUCUCUCUUCUCAACCCUCUCCCCCUUACUCCUCCUCCUUCUUCUCCUACUCUUUUUGCUCCUCCUUCACUUCUUCUUUUAUGCUUUUAACAUAGUUAUCUAUUUCUUGGUUGCAGAAACAGCUUUGGAUCCUAGAUUUGAAAUCAGACCUUGGAAGCCAAACUGUAAACAAUAUCCACCUGGGCAUAAAUAUUGUACCAGAGAAUGGGAUCCAAUCUGUGCAAGCAAUGGGAGAACUUAUGGCAAUCCAUGUGAUUUCUGCUUAGAAAAGAGGUGAGCACACAACAAUACAUUUUUGCUCUUCAAAAGUAGGAAGAGACCAUCACAAAAUGAUGGCAAAAGCCAUGUGGCUGGUAACCUGGGCACAACAGCUAUAGACAGUAACUAUUAGAUGUCUGUAAAUAUUUAGGGGCCACUACUGAACUCUGCCCCCAAAUUCUUCUUUCUGAAAGUCAUUUUGAAUUUGAGCUCUUGCCAAAAUUGUGCUUGAUACUAUGCAAAGGCAGAAAUCAAUUCAUGGGACCUAAUGGUGAAUUCCUAAAGGCAGACCAGCAACCAGCAUGAUGGGAUUCCUAAGCCCANAUCCCCCACAUUGGCCUCUGUUUCCAGAGAUUCAAAAUCAUGUCUCUCAGAUCUGGGGUUGGGUCCCCAGAGGGAGUCAGAACAGAGCAGGUGGGAAGAGUCAAGGAGCCCCAUAAGGAAGAGACAGGUUCUGCAGCCUAGGAGAUAGUGGAGCCCAGCUGCUUCUGGAAGUGGAGCACAGCCUCCCCACCGUGUUCCAUGUUCAAAUCCUCACUGUUGAGAAGUGCUUUGGUAUCAUGUUUUACAUCCAUCUAUAUUCUACAUGCAGACUAUCUAGAUUUCUGCACCAGAAAAAUGGACCCAAUUUGUGCAGACAAUGGUCAAAUUUAUACCAGUGGUUUUACUGUCUGAAGUGAGAUGACCCAGGCAGUUUCUUUUUCCUUUCCUUUUUUUUAAGGAUCCUAUUUAUUUAUUCAUGAGAGACACAGAGAGCAACAGAACCAUAGACAGAAGGAGAAGCAGGCUCCCUCCAGUGAGCCAGAUGUGGGACUGGAUCCCAGGACCCCACUAUCACACCCUGGGCAAAGGCAGAUGCUCCCCUGAUGAGCCACCCAGGCAUCCCCAAGACAGUUUCAAACAUCACUUUUUUAAGUAAAAUUUUUAUGUUACCGUAACUUUUGAUUUUCAGGAAAAUUUAGGAGAUAGUACCAAUUGUCCAGGACUUUUAUUCAGUUUCCUCUAAGGUUAACACCUUG
rnacentral:lncRNA from 1 species